GCCGCGUGAGUGAAGAAGGUUUUCGGAUCGUAAAACUCUGUUGUAAGGGAAGAACAAGUACAGUAGUAACUGGCUGUACCUUGACGGUACCUUAUUAGAAAGCCACGGCUAACUACGUGCCAGCAGCCGCGGUAAUACGUAGGUGGCAAGCGUUGUCCGGAAUUAUUGGGCGUAAAGCGCGCGCAGGCGGUCCUUUAAGUCUGAUGUGAAAGCCCACGGCUCAACCGUGGAGGGUCAUUGGAAACUGGGGGACUUGAGUGCAGAAGAGGAAAGUGGAAUUCCAAGUGUACCGGUGAGAUGCGUAGAGAUUUGGAGGAACACCAGUGGCGAAGGCGACUUUCUGGUCUGUAACUGACGCUGAGGCGCGAAAGCGUGGGGAGCAAACAGGAUUAGAUACCCUGGUAGUCCACGCCGUAAACGAUGAGUGCUAAGUGUUAGGGGGUUUCCGCCCCUUAGUGCUGCAGCUAACGCAUUAAGCACUCCGCCGUGGGGAGA
rnacentral:rRNA from 1 species